CCAAUGUCGGUCAUUUGUCCAUGGGGUGCAGUCCUCCAGGCACAGACUGCUCCAGUGUGGGAGCAGGGUCACAAGUCUGUAGCGACUGAUGCACAGACUCAGGUUGUAUGGACAAACUGAAUUGUUUAUUGAUUACAACCUUUGGUAUAUAUAGGGUUUGGGGAAAGAGCAUGCAUACCAGUACUUUUCCACUCCAUUCAUAGCCAGGGUUAGGGGGAAGGGACACACAGGGAGUAUUUUUCCAUCACACAGGUAAGCAGUUUUCCAUUACGGUUAAAACCACUGAUGGGCGAGCAAAAUAAAGCCAUAAAGAGAGCUGUCAUGUGCUGUUUACAAGUCUGUUAGUUUGUCUUGCUUAUCACAAAUGAGGCAAGACUUCAAGCAGUGAGUGCGAACAGUUCUUCCUUGCUUUUGCUUUAACUCCAUGGCUUCUUACUGAAAUCUCUUCUCAUUUCUGCAGUGUCAUGAAGAAUUUUCAUUCCCACACAAGUCCUGCCAGCAAACCUGCUCCAGCAUGGGCUCCUCUCUCCACAGGUUCACAAGUCCCUGCCAGGUGCCUGGUCCAGCACAGGUUUCCCAUGGGUUCACAGCCCCUUUCAGGCAUCCACCUGCUCCAGUGGGCUCUCCUCCACAGGCUAUAGGUGGAUUUCUACUCCACCAUACACAUCCACGGGCUGCAGGGGGACAAUGUACCUCACCAUGGUCUUCUCCAUGGGCUGCAAGAGAACCUCAGCUGCGGCACCCGGAGCACCUCCUUCCCCUCCUUCUCCAAUGAUCUUGGUUCUGCAGAGUUGUUCCUCUCACAUAUCCUUACUCUUCUCCGGCUGCAAUUACACCUGUGCAAUAAAUUUUUUUCCUUCUUAUAUGUGUUAUUACAGCAGUGUUACUAUCAUUUCUGACUGGCUCAGCCUUGGUCAGCAGCGAGUCCAUCCUGGAGUCAGCUGGCAUUAUCUCUGCCAGACAUAGGGGAAGCUUCUAACAGCUUCUCACAGAAGCCACCCCUGUAGCUCCACCACUACCAAAACCUGGCCAUGCAAACCCAAUAGAUAGAUAUAUUAAAAACAUCAACAUCACGUUGAUUCAAAGAUCAAAAUUCAUGUUACCUUACUUGAGGCAAUUAAGUGAAGUUCUUAUUAUGAGACUAAUCUUCCUCAAUAUAAUAAUAAAAAAAGGAAAAAAAGGGGAAAAAAGGAAGAGUCAAUGAUUUUUUUAUUUGAAAGAUUCAGUAGAGAUAUCACCAAAAUAUUUCUUGCUGCAUCAAUUAAUAAGUAUGAUUAAAUUAGGGACAGCAAAUAAGUGCUCAAACUUAGGCAAAUAGGCCAAGGACAGAUAGAGAGAGUACAGCCCCAUCUCUUUCAUCCAGUGCUCAGUUCUUACAGGAUUUUGAUACACAUUGAGCAAGAAGCUCAGCUUUUUUCAAAUAAGAGUCUUCCAGUGAACGAGUUUUUAAUGUUCCUGUUUUGCAGUUUCAAUGCAUUUCUGAAAUGGUAAAGGUACAGACAGGAUGCAAAAUGGGAAGAUUUUUCAAAAAAUCCUGAGCAGAUGAAAUACCAUAGGCUGAAUUGGAAGUCUGAAUACCUAAAGUGUUUUCAAAAUGGAACAGCUGAAGAGCUGCUGAAGGGUUAUGUUGGAUUUCCAACUACUUUACUCUGAAACCAUAGCAGAGAGCACAGCCACAAGAGACUCUCCGUGAAGUUGCCAACUUUCAAGAUUUCAGCCAAUUCACGUUAUGGUUUUUUUUAAGAGCAGUGAAAUCAAAAGGAGGUAGAUACUCACAAGAAACUUUUAUAGAGACGUGAUGAUCUCAGGUCUGCUUAUCAAGCUGCACUGUAAACUGGAAAUGGGGAAGGGGGGCUAUCACAAGGUGGGGGAAGAGAAAGGAGAUUUACUUACAACAGUCACACAACAUCACAGUGAAGCUUUCAACUUUUGGUACCCCAUUCAUGAUUUUCUUUUUUUUCCAGUCAGAUAUCUUUGGCAACUUGCUCAGUCUUUUUUUUAGCAUAAGAUACACCUGAAUAAACAAAAAUUGGACAGAAGCAUAAAGGAUCUUGGAAGUGUUCUGUAUUUUGGCUAGGCUUUGGAAAUAGAUAUAAAGAUAUAACAGAUAUAAAGAACUACAGAAUUGACAUGACAGAACACCUGACAUAAGGAAUUUUAUACACUUGGGGAAGACCGUCUAAAUAAUGGCCCUUCUUCCUAACCUGAUCUUCUAGGAUAGGCCAAGGAGGCUUUCACCAUAGAAGUGAGUGUUGGGUCCAUUCAAGCAACUGCUGAGUUAAAAUUAACCACCUGUUCAAGUACAAAAGGUGAGAGAGCUGUAACCUCUUAAAUUGGUUUGAGAAAAAGCAAACAACCCAGAAAAUGGGAAGUUUUUUCUCUUUGACUUUUUUAAUUGUAGAUCAUGUCAACUUUCUGAAUUUUAGUGAGAUCAGUUUCAUGACCUUUAAGGGAAGCUGGCUUAUAAGCUUUGAGCACCUGAAGUUUGCAUGAGUAUAAUGCUCAUUUUUCUAUUCUAUACAUAAUUUGCAGUAUAGGCUGGAAAAGCCAAACUGAGAAAAUUAAGCUAAAUCAGAAGUCCCAACUUUGAGCACAAGGCCCAGUGUCAGUAGGGUUAUACCAUUGUGAGUUAUGAAAUAAAAUUUAUUUCAUAGAAAAAGAACUGCCCAUAUCGACAUGCACAUUAUGACUCAUACUGUCACCCCGAUUACAGUACUCAUUAAUUAAAUAUAUUUCUGUAAGCUUAAAGAAUGCUCCAGAAAGAUCCAUAAUAGCACCACCCCUGAAACAAAUGAAAUCAAGGUCUGUGAAAAAAAAAAUCAGGAAGGUCCAUAUGUCUCCAACAAAAAGCUAAGAUGAGAGGUCAUUAAAACCUAUACCAAAAAAGACAUAUUAGUGAGUAGUGGCUCACUAAGUCACUUGUAGUGACUUCGAAUUAUUUCCACUUUUAUUGGAAUUUUAAGCUGAAAGACAAAGAGCUUUUGCUGUCUUUUUAUUCCGUCAGUUAUCAGGUUCGUUAUUGCUUUUUGGCCUCAUGAUCAGGUGCUGAUAUUUAUCUCAUGUUGGUGCUUUAAUGUUUUUUCUCCAGUUUAUUUCUAAAGUGUGAAGCCGGCUUUCAAAAUCCUGCAGAAGAUAUACUCCUACUGGAAGUCUCAACCUGAAUCCUGAAGGAGAAUAUUUUAUCCUUCUGAAGUCAACCUUUGAUACAACUUUUUUUUUCUUUCACAUUCCUUUGUGUACUGAAAGAAUACGAAAGUAUUAGUACAGAUGAUAAAACCAAAAAUUUUGCUUUAGUUGUUGCAAUUUCACAUAUAAUCACAUUAUUUUAAUUAUAGUAUUUCAACUGAAUUCUGCAACCAAAUUAAUCCUGAAGUUAUGGACUUUACUAGCUCCUAUUUACAGUACUGUUUGAGAACCUCCAUUUGCAACUUUCUGUCAAUUCUCUGCAACUCUCUUCAAUUUGGAGCAGACCCAGAUUUAAUCCUUGUUCCAAGGACAACGAGAAUUCUCCAGUUUGGCUGCAUCAGAAAGUGUGGCCCGCAGGUUGAGGGAGGUGAUCCUUCCUCUUUAGUUGGCCUUAGUGAGGCCACAUUACUAGUACUGUGUCCAGUUCUGGGCUCCUCAAUACAAGAAAGAUAAGGAGCUACUGGAGAGGGUACAGGGGAGGGCCAGAAUGAUGAUUAGGGAUCUGGAGCAUCUCUCUUAUGAGUAGAGACUAUGAGAGCUGGACCUACUUAGUCUAGAGAAGAGAAGACUGACAGGGGAUCUCAUCAAUACAUAUAAAUAUCUCAGAGGUGGGUGCCAGGGCAAUGGUGUCAGACUCUUUUUGGUGGUGCCCACCAACAGGAGGAGGAGCACUGUGGAGGACAAAGAAGAUGACUGGAAAUGGUUUCAGAGAUGGUGCGAACUCUAUGGGAAUCAUUAGGGAGGACACUAAAGAAUACCAGCAGCAUUUAGUGUGCGUAACAGAAAAGAACUUGGUUACUAUAUUACAUAAGAAUUGUUAAUGCAUGUUUUUCUAAUUAUGUACCCCAGUUUUACUUGUAGUUGGACAUGUCCAGAUUUGUUUGCUCCCUUGUUGCUGUACCCUCAUUCUGAUUGGCAGGAUUUAGCCGCAGUGUGGAGUCCUGCACAAUUGGUCCUUGUUCCUGAAGUGUUCCCUCCUGUUUUCCCUGAUUUGUUCAACUUCCUGUCAAUCCCGUGCUCCACCUACCAUUUCAGUGCUUUCCACCCCGAACCCUAUUUAAACCAGCGUUUUCCCUCAAUAAAGUGCAAUAGCUCCAGA